GGUCAGUGAUGAACCGUAAAAGGUCUGAUUACCCACAAUCCCCUCCCAGCCGCCCCUGUGGCUCCCAGCGGCCCCUGCUCUCCUUUACCCAUCAUGCUCUAGUGAUGCAGCGCUGGGUCCAGGAGCCGCUGACAGACAGACAGGAUGUGACAUCACAGCCUCGAGUCUGUGGAGAGAGAUCCCAUUGGCUCAGAGUGACGAGGAGGCAUCCGACAGGAACCAAUCAGCACGGAGCGCCGGGGCGGCGGGGGGCGGAGCCGGGAGCUGAUCUCAAGUUUUCAAGCUGAGACC
rnacentral:snoRNA from 1 species